CCUACGGGCGGCAGCAGUGGGGAAUAUUGCACAAUGGGCGCAAGCCUGAUGCAGCCAUGCCGCGUGUGUGAAGAAGGCCUUCGGGUUGUAAAGCACUUUCAGCGGGGAGGAAGGCGUUAAGGUUAAUAACCUUGGCGAUUGACGUUACCCGCAGAAGAAGCACCGGCUAACUCCGUGCCAGCAGCCGCGGUAAUACGGAGGGUGCAAGCGUUAAUCGGAAUUACUGGGCGUAAAGCGCACGCAGGCGGUCUGUCAAGUCGGAUGUGAAAUCCCCGGGCUCAACCAGGGAACUGCAUUCGAAACUGGCAGGCUAGAGUCUUGUAGAGGGGGGUAGAAUUCCAGGUGUAGCGGUGAAAUGCGUAGAGAGCUGGAGGAAUACCGGUGGCGAAGGCGGCCCCCUGGACAAAGACUGACGCUCAGGUGCGAAAGCGUGGGGAGCAAACAGGAUUAGAUACCCGUGUAGUC
rnacentral:rRNA from 1 species